CUUGGGAGGCAGAGGCAGCUAGAUCUCUGGUAUCUGCUUCCACAAAGAAGAUAUCCUAAUAUCAUAUGAUGUGAGUGCAAGCUGGUCAUGCCUAUAAUCCCAGUACUUGGGAGGAGAAGGCGGCAACAACAUCAGGAAUUCAAAUUCAUCCUCAACUGUAAAGAGAGUUCUGGGCCAGCCUGAGUUACAUGAAACGUCUUUUCAAAACACAAGACCAAAAUAAAAGAUGUUGGUGAAGCUGAGUAUGAUCUGAGGCACUAUCUCAAAACAAACAACAGCAAAUACACCAAAGGCUGUGGGGCUUCAUGGUUGGCAAUGUGCUUACUUCGUGAGGACCUGCGUGUGAUCCCUAGUACCCAAGCUCCAAACCAACAAGGGCUGUCUGAAAAUAAAAACAAGGAAAGAA